ensembl:snRNA U1 U1 spliceosomal RNA
AUACUUACCUUGCAGGAGAGAGACCAUGAUCAUGAAGGUGGUUUUCCCAGGGCUAGACUCAUCUACUGCACUCCAGAUAUGCUGACCCCUGUGAUUUCCCCAAAUGCAGAAAACUCAACUGCAUAAUUUGUGGUAGUGGGGGACUGCGCUCACACUCUCCCCUU